rnacentral:rRNA from 1 species
UACGUAGGGUGCGAGCGUUGUCCGGAAUUAUUGGGCGUAAAGAGCUCGUAGGCGGCUUGUCGCGUCGGCUGUGAAAACCUGGGGCUCAACCCCGGGCCUGCAUUCGAUACGGGCAGUCUAGAGUUCGGUAGGGGAGUCUGGAAUUCCUGGUGUAGCGGUGAAAUGCGCAGAUAUCAGGAGGAACACCGGUGGCGAAGGCGGGACUCUGGGCCGAUACUGACGCUGAGGAGCGAAAGCGUGGGGAGCAAACAGG